GAAUUUUCCGCAAUGGGCGAAAGCCUGACGGAGUGACGCCGCGUGGGGGACGAAGGCCUUCGGGUUGUAAACCCCUGUCAGAGGGAAAGAAGGGUGUCGGCGCGAUAACCGCCGGCACUUGACGGUACCUUCAGAGGAAGCCCCGGCCAACUCUGUGCCAGCAGCCGCGGUAAGACAGAGGGGGCAAGCGUUGCUCGGAAUCACUGGGCGUAAAGGGCGCGUAGGCGGGAUGGCAAGUCAGUCGUGAAAUCUCUCGGCUCAACCGAGAAACGUCGGCUGAUACUGCCGUUCUUGAGGGAUGCAGAGGAGACUGGAAUUCCCGGUGUAGCGGUGAAAUGUGUAGAGAUCGGGAGGAACACCGGUGGCGAAGGCGGCCCCCUGGACAAAGACUGACGCUCAGGUGCGAAAGCGUGGGGAGCAAACAGG
rnacentral:rRNA from 1 species